rnacentral:rRNA from 1 species
AUGUUCAAAUCUGACCACUCACAUGGCUCUGACCAUGAUAAUUUGCAGCUAUACUUCGCCAUCCCCCAAAAAGAACAUUGGAUCGUGUGCUGCAUCAACCUUCUGUACAAACAGAUCAACAUAUUUGACUCAGGCAGAAAGCUCAAGAAUGACGAGGCAUACGAGAUAUCCAACAAUCUGGUUAGCAAUUUUGUGACACUUGCGGCACAUGCUAAAGCUUUCACAAAGUUGGAUUUCAUGAAGUUCACGUGUUUCAACCCUCCGGAAUGCCCCCAACAGAAAACACACUAUGAUUGUGGAAUAUUCGCAAUGCUCUUCAUGAAGCAAUGGGAUGGGAAGAAAAUGGCAGAAUUUAGCAAGGACACUUAUGACCAUCGCGCGCUUAUCACAGAAGAAAUCCUCACUUCACAACUCAACACUCAAGAUCCAAGCUGGGUACUGAAGAAGAAAUGA